GCAUGAACGCUAGCUACAGGCUUAACACAUGCAAGUCGAGGGGCAGCAUUUUAGUUUGCUUGCAAACUAAAGAUGGCGACCGGCGCACGGGUGAGUAACACGUAUCCAACCUGCCGAUAACUCGGGGAUAGCCUUUCGAAAGAAAGAUUAAUAUCCGAUAGUAUAUUAAAACCGCAUGGUUUUACUAUUAAAGAAUUUCGGUUAUCGAUGGGGAUGCGUUCCAUUAGUUUGUUGGCGGGGUAACGGCCCACCAAGACUACGAUGGAUAGGGGUUCUGAGAGGAAGGUCCCCCACAUUGGAACUGAGACACGGUCCAAACUCCUACGGGAGGCAGCAGUGAGGAAUAUUGGUCAAUGGACGAGAGUCUGAACCAGCCAAGUAGCGUGAAGGAUGACCCCUAUGGGUUGUAAACUUCUUUUAUAUGGGAAUAAAGUAUUCCACGUGUGGRAUUUUGUAUGUACCAUAUGAAUAAGGAUCGGCUAACUCCGUGCCAGCAGCCGCGGUAAUACGGAGGAUCCGAGCGUUAUCCGGAUUUAUUGGGUUUAAAGGGAGCGUAGGUGGAUUGUUAAGUCAGUUGUGAAAGUUUGCGGCUCAACCGUAAAAUUGCAGUUGAAACUGGCAGUCUUGAGUACAGUAGAGGUGGGCGGAAUUCGUGGUGUAGCGGUGAAAUGCUUAGAUAUCACGAAGAACUCCGAUUGCGAAGGCAGCUCACUAGACUGCAACUGACACUGAUGCUCGAAAGUGUGGGUAUCAAACAGGAUUAGAUACCCUGGUAGUCCACACAGUAAACGAUGAAUACUCGCUGUUUGCGAUAUACAGUAAGCGGCCAAGCGAAAGCAUUAAGUAUUCCACCUGGGGAGUACGCCGGCAACGGUGAAACUCAAAGGAAUUGACGGGGGCCCGCACAAGCGGAGGAACAUGUGGUUUAAUUCGAUGAUACGCGAGGAACCUUACCCGGGCUUAAAUUGCAAAUGAAUAAUCUGGAAACAGGUUAGCCGCAAGGCAUUUGUGAAGGUGCUGCAUGGUUGUCGUCAGCUCGUGCCGUGAGGUGUCGGCUUAAGUGCCAUAACGAGCGCAACCCUUAUCUUUAGUUACUAACAGGUUAUGCUGAGGACUCUAGAGAGACUGCCGUCGUAAGAUGUGAGGAAGGUGGGGAUGACGUCAAAUCAGCACGGCCCUUACGUCCGGGGCUACACACGUGUUACAAUGGGGGGUACAGAAGGCAGCUACCUGGCGACAGGAUGCUAAUCCCAAAAACCUCUCUCAGUUCGGAUCGAAGUCUGCAACCCGACUUCGUGAAGCUGGAUUCGCUAGUAAUCGCGCAUCAGCCAUGGCGCGGUGAAUACGUUCCCGGGCCUUGUACACACCGCCCGUCAAGCCAUGAAAGCCGGGGGUACCUGAAGUACGUAACCGCAAGGAGCGUCCUAGGGUAAAACUGGUAAUUGGGGCU
rnacentral:rRNA from 1 species